GACGAACGCUGGCGGCGUGCCUAACACAUGCAAGUCGAGCGAAUGAAGUUCCUUCGGGAAUGGAUUUAGCGGCGGACGGGUGAGUAACACGUGGGCAAACUGCCUCAUAGAGGGGAAUAGCCUUCCGAAAGGGAGAUUAAUACCGCAUAAGAUUGUAGUACCGCAUGAUACAGCAAUUAAAGGAGCAAUCCGCGAUGAGAUGGGCCCGCGGCGCAUUAGCUAGUUGGUGAGGUAACGGCUCACCAAGUCGACGAGGCGUAGCCGACCUGAAAGGGUGAUCGGCCACAUUGGGACUGAGACACGGCCCAGACUCCUACGGGAGGCAGCAGUGGGUAAUAUUGCACAAUGGGGGAAACCCUGAUGCAGCAACGCCGCGUGAGUGAUGACGGCCUUCGGGUUGUAAAGCUCUGUCUUCAGGGACGAUAAUGACGGUACCUGAGGAGGAAGCCACGGCUAACUACGUGCCAGCCGCCGCAGUAAAAC
rnacentral:rRNA from 1 species